GAGAGAGGAAAAAUAAAAAACUCCAAAAAGAAAAAAAAAAAAAAGCCCACUGGGGCAUGUGGCUGGGCCUAUACAACACGUCACUGGCCGCAUGGCAUAGGCUGGCCUGAGGCCUUCCAACACCAGUCCAAGGGUUUCGGAGAGACAAGGCCUGCUCCACACAUUUGCAACCUCCGUGAACUUUAAAACCAAGUUCACCCUUACGAAAACAGCUUUAAAGUCGCCUUGCGGAUGUAACACCUGGUCAUUUAGCCCGACUGAAUACAGUGCCCAGAACCAUACAAAUUUUAUGAAGAUUUUUGACUGGAAGAAUGAAGCAAAGGAAAUAAUAAAUCUUUAUAGGAUAAUGCAGUAAAGAAGAUGCCUCAUAGAUAAAGCCUCACCCCGUCUCCUGGCCACGAUGAUCCCACGCUCACAGCAGUCCUCACUGAGCCCGAAUUUUGCCCUGCGUGGAGAGUCUGUUACCUCUGCCAGGUUGCUUUCCUCUCCUCAGCUUCACUCCUGUGCAAACAUGUACCUGAAUAUCGCAUUCUGCUUCCCAUUGUGAGACGCCCCUCGAAUGGAAUGGCCAUCCAGAAAAUCAGGUGCGUUCCCCAGACUUCUCUCUACACGGACUGUAUCGUCCUACGUCCGCGCCAGCCAGCCACACGCUCUUGGCCCUUCCGCCGCACCUGCAGCCCCAGCACCUUGUCUGCUGUCCUGGCGUGGCACAGGCUUCUCUCCCACCUCGUUGCACCUCGUCUCCCCUUGGUUUUCAGGGCACCUUCUCUUCCGAGAUCUGAAGUAGGUGGAGCAUUUUGUCUGCAAGCGGUU